UAAAAUUUAAAAAAUUUACAUAUAAUUUGCAUAAACAUUGGGGUGUAUAAAUUCAACAUAAGUAUAAAGCAUUCCCAAAAUCUUUCUCUAGGCUUUUUCUACAGUCAACAGGAUCAGAGAGAAUGACAGAUUAUCAUGUUUCUCAGACAAUUUGUCAAGAUAUAGUACCUGUUACCCUAAGCUAAAUAUUUAUAUAGUCUAGUAUAGAGUGUAAAAUUUGCAUGAACUUUUAUGAUAGGUAUUGAGACUUCAAAAAAAUUCCUAUGGUGAACUGAUUUUGCCUAAUCUUAGGUCGCUUUUUUUUCUCCUCCUCACAUUCUUUGCUGUGCUUAAGUAGUAAAGUUUGAGAAAAAUUGCUGUGCAGAUUUGAUUCAGAGUUAUAGUUUGGGCCUUUUGCUUAGAGAUGGCCACAAGUUAUUCAGCCAUCAUUUAUUGAUAACUUACUGUGUGUAGCAUUGUAUAAAGCAAGUAUCCUCUUUUUCCUGCAACAGUCCUAUGCCAUAUAAGGCAGCUUCCAUUCAACUUCAGUAAUCCAAGCUCCACUUUAAGCCUACACAUUCUUAAGCCUUCAAGAAAGCAUGAUUGCACUGAAAGUCAUCAACAUGGAGGGGAGUUAUUUCAUCCUGGACUGACCUGCUCAAAGGUGAGCCUGGUGAGUGCUAAGGUCCAGCUUUUCAGAUAAACAGCAAUCUGGCUUCCCUUAAUUAAACAUACUUCCAGGUGCUCUCUGGCCAAACAAAAGAUACCUGAUGUGGAUAAAGUGAGAAAUAGUUUAAAGGCCAACUUGAAUUAGUCAAUGGAGUAUGAGUUGCCCUUCCCCCUGCUCCCUCUUUAGGUCCAGAGGUUACAUAUUUUCCUGACAUUUCUGCAUUCACUUUUCUUGCUCAACAGGCUUUGUAGAACCCAAGGGGUUUACAUUACCCAGAUGAGUGUGGAUGAAAUCAAAGUUCUAUCCACUGUUGUGGGUGGGCUUGGGCAAGGGAAUGAAAAUGUUUGCUAAAUUUAGAUGGCUCGUGUAAUGUUCACUAACUACAACAAUGUGUGUUUGGAACACUAAAUUUGGAAAGACAAGCAUUUUUCCCCCUAACCAGCUUCACUCACCAUUGAAUCGAACAGAAUUGAAAACACUUGAAACUAGUGAAUUGAAGUCUUUUUAACUGCACGAUUUCCACUGGACCAGGGUGAGCAAAAACUACUGCAUGUAAGAGCUGUCAAGAGGAAGACAUUACCAAUCUCUGUUUUAAAAAUAGUGAACAAGUUUUCAUUACAGCAAACAAUAGAUUUUUAGUUGGCAUAAUCCCCCCCACCCCCCACCCGCCAAAUAAAUGACAUGCCCAGUGGUGUGUUGUCAUUUUAAUUUUGGCAAAAAUCUACUGAUUUCAAGUGGAUGUGAGACUGGCAUAAUCAUAGUGUAAAUAUAAUGAAAGGCCUGAUUUAGGUUAUUGUUUUCUUUGGCACUAUUAUUGGUUGCCUGGAAAAGAAUCAGGUAACUAUGACUUUUUACCUAAGGAUGUUUGCCUGGAGUGGUCUUUGAGGACCUUUGCCCAUAGGCUUCCUUUAAGGCAUAAUCUCUUAACCUAUUUUUUUCAGUUAUUUAUCAUCAGGAUUUUAAAAAAAUCAUUUUCAGGUUUCCAAAUUUAGAAAAGAGAACUUCCUGGUUCUUUUCUCAUAUUUUAUAUGAUUUACAUGUUUUUCCUUUUAUCGACUGCACUGUUUUUUUCUGUAUUCUUUCAUUGAGUAAUUGUUUUGAUGAUUGCUGCUUCAUUUAUUUAACAUCCUUUUCUAAUGUUUGUUUUUGCAAUGAGGUGGGUAAGCAGCAGCAUCAGUGAAGUCCAUAUGAGCCAGCCAGAGCCACACUUGGGGACAAUAGCUAAAUGCCUUCAUAGUGCUCUGCAGACCUGCGCUUGGCCAUUCCUGAACCCCAGAAGGAGGCUUUUAUUUGGCUUUGAUGAAGAUUUCAAUCCUCAUCUUGUCUGGCUAAAAGAAACUAAAAAAAUUCUGCUUCCUUAUAAUUUAUAAAGUUUAGAGGCCAAAUUACUCCUUUAGGAAGAUACUUCAAAGAUAUCUCAGAGAAGUACUGCUAUAACAACUUUAUUGUACUUUCAGUAUGAUUCAAGGUCUCUGUGAAAAAAUUAUAAUUUUAAACUAUGAAAUAAAGCUCUAAAUUAUUGUAUUUACUGAUCCAUUUAUUUCCUUCUCAGGUAAUGUGAAAUAAACAUGUGUAAUUCUCAUCCAAGGCAAGCAUCCAGUUCAUUUGCAUGCAGCCUUCCAAAGUGUACCCAAGACUGCUUUGAUGGUUUCCAGAACUUCUACAAAAUAUGCCAGAUUCCAGGUCAACAGAGUUGUGAACAGACUUGUUUCCCCUCUUCUGGUCCUUAAGCCUCCAUGAAGAUGAUAAUACUCCCCAAGAAUUGUUUAAGAUACUUUUUUCUUCAAACAAAGCUUUCUAAGGUAAGAGGGGGUAGUAAGGUAAUCCAAAAUUAAACAGCAGGAAAUUACUACCAGGCUGAAAGGAUGAAACACAUAACAGUAUUACUUCCGAGAGAGUCAUCAGAUGGAAGCUAGUACUAAGACAACCUGUCAAGCAAUGAAACCAAGGAGCUGGAGCCAUAGAGCAGAAAUAACUGCUGAGAAGCUGCCUAAGGUCAUGUCAUUCGGUGCUCCAGAAAAUGAAUAUGUCUUGAAGUGGACAGAGUGUGUGAUUAAAUCCCUGAGUAGGGUGAGUAUGACCUAAUAAUGUUUGACAAGUGCUUGAAGUGUUUAAAUAGGAAGCAAGGAAGAAAAUGGUUUCCUGUAGCAUAAGGAGUUACAACAUGAAGUACCAGAAUGGAAUUGGCAAGUGGAAACAUUUGAAUGACUUUCUAGAAAUAUUUCCUAAUGGAGUCAUAUGUUAGGGCAGUGGAACUGGUUUUCCAGAGGGAAGUGAUCGGAGCAGAGGUUUUUGAAGUAAACACAAGAAAAAGCAUCUGAGACUACACUACAGGUAAUAUACCUAAGGAGACAGCUAUUAUUAACUCUUUUCUUUAGUUCCAGAAUUAAAAAUGACAAUGUUAUAUCUGCAUAGUGCUAUUCAAUGAAGUACAUGUUCACAUAUUAUCUUAUUCAAUCCUCUGGCAAGAACUAAGUUUCAGAGAGGUUAAAAAUGGCUUGAAAAAGCACACAUCUCUUAAAUGUUAGGACUACGCUCUCAUUCAAACUUUCUACUACCUUGAUAUCAGGAAGAGUCAUUGGGAUCAAGAUCUACCUUGGGAUCAAGAAUCAUUCACAGUAAAUAGAAGCUAUGGCUGAUACAGAGAGUUUCAUAUUCUUGAAGUUGAUGUAGACUUAUCUAUAAGAAAAGGAAAAUACCAUCCCUUUCUAAACAUCUAGGAACUGUGACAAUCAAGGCUCUUGAUUUUACAGAACAAAAUAUACUCUGCAUAGUUUAGGCAGAAAGGUGUUUAUUACAGAGCAUAUGGUAGUUUACAGAAUGUAUCAGAGGCUAGAAAACUAAAUAGUUCUGCUGAAAUUUGUUUGGUCUGAAGCAAGAGUACAAGUAAAUAACCACAUAGUAUGUUUAAGUACUUAAAAAUUAAACAUAAGCAUCAAACUAUGUGUUAUGUUCCCACCUUGAGACAUUUACUUCCUAAAUGGCCUGAAAGGUCAAAAUUGUCUUUAGAAUUCUCAGAUUCCUUUGGGUUCCUUACCAAAGCAUAGUGGCAUGGGGAAAACAUGACUCCAGACCCUAACCCAGGUUCCCAGACCUUCUCUCCCCAGAUCUGGCUCCAUUCUGUGUUGCAAGGGGCCCUCAUCUGCAAGUGUAUGGACACUACAGCCUGUGUGUCCAAGAUAUCUUGUGGCCACCCUUAGACCUCUAGUUGGCCUGAGGAAAGAAGACCACACAGACCCUGGAAGUAAGCUCAGAGCCAUCUGGGUAAGGAAUCUGUGUGCAUGGCUCCCAGAGCACAGUCUAGGGCUAGAGCUCCAGUUAAGUACAUCCCAGAGGCCCCUCAUACUCCUCACUCAGUGUUUAGUGGAAUGACCAGAAGAUAACAGGCAAGAGCCUCUAAAGUGUUGGGCCCAGAACGAGAAGCCCCUCUUGCCUGGAUCUGAGGGUGGAACCAAGCGUAGGUCCUACUCAUUCAGGAACAAUGCAGCCUGAUGAAUUACCUAACUAUACCAAGGAACCUGUUAAGAGAAAACUGACUGCCACAGACACUUGCUGUUUUGUAAAUUUGGUGCCAGGUACUGGCCUGUAGGAUCUUUCUCACAGCUGUCCCAGGAGAACCAAACACGUCUGCAGUUUUGCUUGCCAGGAGUUCCAAUAUCUUCAUGUAAACUACCAUCUCACAAUGCUGAUUUCUGCAUUUAAAGAUUUGUGCAGGUAUAUCUGCCUAGUGGAAGCUAAGUCAGUGUGAAAACUUAGCUGCAACUGUGAUUUGGUCUUUAUAGCUUCUAUUACUCAAGAAAACACACUAGAAGUACAUUGAAUUGAAUGGCCAUACCAUGCAAUAUCUUUUGAAUACCCAUUUAUUGAGAUACAAAUAGAAACAUCUUUGAUGCACAUUGAUUUUUUUAAUGGUAAAACCAUCAUUAUGGAUUUAUUGGUAAUGCCUUUGUGGAGCACUCUGCUGUAAAGGAUUCUGAGGCUUUCUUUGGACUCUGAAAAAAAAAACCACAUCCCUCGUUUUCAAUAUCUGUCAUGGUUAUGGGAGGGGUCAACAGGGAUACCCAUGCCAUUUUUGGAGUCAGGACUAUAUCUUAGACAUUUGCAAUAGGCCAUGUGUAAGGUUUUGUUAAGUGAAUAAAUAGAUGAUAACCAAUUGAAUUACAACUAUGACUUUAUACAGGAAUUAAAAUGAUUCUGAGUUUUUCCACCUUAUAAUCCUAAUCUGUUUAAUUUUAUCUGCAACCACAGUGAGAUAUAAUAAAGACAGGUCAAAGGAGCUGAAAUUUGUAGAAGGUAGGGAGGCAGGGGAGGUUUCUCAUUUAACUGGAGAGAAAUGUUGAAUGGAGGGUCAAAACUCUCCGGACCUUCUUCCCAUUCUCUUCGAUGUUAGUUAAGGUAAUACUACCCGCUAUAGCAAAAAGUCCUCCAGAUUUCAGUGGCUUAACAUGAUAAAAAUUGUUCUUGCCUCUAAUAAUCUGAUGCAGGUAUUCUUGUCAGUGGGGGAAGAUGGUUCAGGCUGAUGAAGUCCUUAACUUAGAACAUGAACUACAAUAUUGCCCUGGGCAUCAACAUGUAAAGCAUAUGCCAGAAGGAAGUGGGAGAAAAAGGCACUUGCUUUUUAGCUCCUUUAAUUCAAGAAGUGACACACAUCAUUUCAGUCAUAUUUCUUUGGUGGGAACUAGUCAUUUGGCUCCACCUGGAUGCAAGGGUGAGGCUGGGACAUGUAGUUUCUGUCUGAGCAGCUGCUUCCCAGCAACAAUUCUGUAUCAUUUCUGCUCAAAGUCUGGUCCAUAUCAGCAUUACCUGUGGACUUAUUAGAAAUGCACAUUCUUGGGCCCCAUAGGUGAUUACUAAAUUAGGGUAACUGGGGAUGGGGCCCAGAAAAUUAUAUUUUAAUAAGUCCUCCUCAGGAUUCUUAUGUAGUUUGUUUGUAAAACCCUUAUCUCUGGCAGACAGCUUGUUACUUCUGCUCUGCUGCUUAUAGUGACUGCAUUCCAACACCAUAUUUGAAGCAUCUCCCUGAAGGAGGGUUACAGUCCCUACUUGCUUAAAAAGCCAGGCUGCAUCAUGUGACUUAUUUGGCCAAUUAAAUGUGAGCAGAAAUGAUCAUGGCCACUUUCAAGCUUUAAGAGCCAGCAUACACUUUGCUGCUUCCACCUUCCUCUGUCGCUGUCAGCUGUGAUGACCAGGUAGUAGCUGCUGUGUUAGCCUAAAUUCUAGAGUUAGGAGCGCAGGCAACACAGAGCAGAGCCC